ACUAUUUUGGCAGAUAAGUGCACUGGAUUUAGAAUCUAUUAAUGUAAAUUUUAUUUUACAGGUAGUA
rnacentral:tRNA from 3 species